rnacentral:rRNA from 1 species
CCUACGGGGGGCAGCAGUGAGGAAUAUUGGUCAAUGGGCGUAAGCCUGAACCAGCCAAGUCGCGUGAGGGAUGAAGGUUCUAUGGAUUGUAAACCUCUUUUAUCAGGGAGUAAAGUGCGGGACGUGUCCUAUUUUGUAUGUACCUGAUGAAUAAGGAUCGGCUAACUCCGUUCCAGCAGCCGCGGUAAUACCGAGGAUCCGAGCGUUGUCCGGAUUUAUUGGGGUAAAAGGGUGCGCAGGCGGCUUUUAAGUCCAGUGGGAAAGUCUCUGGGUUAACCACAGACUUGCAGUUGAAACUGGGGGUCUUGAGUAUGCGAGAGGCAGGCGGAAUGCGUGGUGUAGCGGUGAAAUGCUGAGAUAUCACGCAGAACCCCGAUUGCGAAGGCAGCAUGCC